rnacentral:rRNA from 1 species
GGACAGUAUACGAGUGAGAAUGUUGGCAUGAGUAGCGAGACGUGGGUGAGAAUCCCACGGGCCGUAAAACCCAAGGUUUCCAGGGGAAGGUUCGUCCGCCCUGGGUUAGUCAGGACCUAAGCCGAGGCCGAAAGGCGUAGGUGAUGGACAACAGGUUGAUAUUCCUGUACCGCCAAUAAGCGUUUGAGAAAUGGGAUGACACAGUAGGAUAAGCUAACCACACUGUUGGUUAUGUGUGGCUAAGUACUGAGGCAGUCAAGAUAGGCAAAUCCGUCUUGAUGUUAAUGCUGGGGGUACGAUGGGGAGCGAAAUUAAGUAGCGAAGUAGCUGAUUUCACACUGUCGAGAAAAGUCUCUAUCGAGUUUAAAGGCGCCUGUACCUCAAACCGACACAGGUGGGUGAGGAGAGUAUCCUAAGGCCAGCGAGAGAACUAUUGUUAAGGAACUCGGCAAAAUGACCCCGUAACUUCGGGAGAAGGGGUGCCAUCUUCGGAUGGGCCGCAGAGAAUAGGCCCAAGCGACUGUUUAACCAAAACACAGGUUUCUGCUAAGUCGCAAGACGAUGUAUAGGAGCUGACGCCUGCCCGGUGCUGGAAGGUUAAGGGGAUCUGUUAGAGCAAUCGAAGCAGUGAACUUAAGCCCCAGUAAACGGCGGCCGUAACUAUAACGGUCCUAAGGUAGCGAAAUUCCUUGUCGGGUAAGUUCCGACCCGCACGAAAGGCGUAACGAUUUGGGCACUGUCUCAACAAUAGACUCGGUGAAAUUGUAAUCCCGGUGAAGAUGCCGGGUACCUGCGGACAGGACGGAAAGACCCCAUGGAGCUUUACUGUAGCUUGACGUUGGGGUCUUGGUACUACAUGUACAGGAUAGGUGGGAAACUAUGAAGCAUGGACGCCAGUCUGUGUGAAGUUUACCUUGGGAUACCACCCUUGUAGUACUGGGAUCCUAACCAUAGGCCUUGAAUCAGGUCUUGGGACACCGUCAGGUUGGGCAGUUUGACUGGGGCGGUCGCCUCCUAAAGAGUAACGGAGGCGCUCAAAGGUUCUCUCAGGCACGGUCGGAAAUCGUGCGUAGAGUGUAAAGGCAGAGAGAGGCUUGAUUGCAAGACAUACAGGUCGAGCAAGGACGAAAGUCGGACUUAGUGAUCCGGUGGUACCGCAUGGAAGGGCCAUCGCUCAACGGAUAAAAGCUACCCUGGGGGAUAACAGGCUUAUCUUCCCAAGAGGUCCACAUCGACGGGGAGGUUUUGGGCACCUCGAUUGUCGGGCUCAUCACAUCCUGGGGCUGUAGUAGGGUCCCAAGGGGUUGGGCUGUUCGGCCCAUUAAAGUGGUACGCGAGCUGGGUUCGAACGUGCGUGAGACAGUUCGGUCCCUAUCCGUCGCAGGCGUAGGAAAUUUGAGGAGACCUGUCCUUAGUACGAGAGGACCGGGAUGGACGUACCUCUGGUGUACCAGUUGUUCUGCCAAGGGCAUCGCUGGGUAGCUAUGUACGGAAUGGAUAAGCGCUGAAAGCAUCUAAGCGCGAGCCGACUUCAAGAUAAGAUUUCCCACCGUAAGGGUAAGACCCCCAGGAAGACUACCUGGUUGAUAGGUCGAAGGUGUAAGUGCGUAAUGUAUUUAGCUUACCGAUACUAAUAGGUCGAGGACUUGACCAA